rnacentral:rRNA from 1 species
GAUGAACGCUGGCGGCGUGCCUAAUACAUGCAAGUCGAGCGAACGGACGAGAAGCUUGCUUCUCUGAUGUUAGCGGCGGACGGGUGAGUAACACGUGGAUAACCUACCUAUAAGACUGGGAUAACUUCGGGAAACCGGAGCUAAUCCCGGAUGAUAUUUUGAACCGCAUGGUUCAAAAGUGAAAGACGGUCUUGCUGUCACUUAUAGAUGGAUCCGCGCUGCAUUAGCUAGUUGGUAAGGUAACGGCUUACCAAGGCAACGAUGCAUAGCCGACCUGAGAGGGGGAUCGGCCACAUUGGAACUGAGAAGCGGACCAGACUCCUACGGGAGGCAGCAGUAGGGAAUCUUCCGCAAUGGGCGAAAGCCUGACGGAGCAAAGCCGCGGGAGUGAUGAAGGUCUUCGGAUCGUAAAAAUCUGUUAUUAGGGAAGAACAUAUGUGUAAGUAACUGUGCACAGCUUGAAGGUACCUAAUCAGAAAGCCACGGCUAACUACGUG